UGAAAAUUAUUAAUCAUUUCAAAGGUUGGACCUCCCUCAGUCGAUGAUGGUGGAUUUCAUGAUGGAAACUCAACAAGCCCAAAUGACCAGGUAAUAAAUACCAUUAGACAACAAUAAUGAAAUAGUAAAACACAAAUCAUUAAGAAGCUCAAAUGUUACUUUUAAUUUUGUUUUUAUUCAUGUUUAAGUGUUGUGUUGUGUUAUGCACAAUGUGAUGGUACUAGGAGAACAAUAUUCUAGCUAUUAUUAAAUUUAACUUCUUGAUGGAAUGAGAUGCUUUUCUCUCCAUUUUCCUUUAGAUCUCUAAUGACAUGACUGAUGAAUCUUCGGAUGCUACGGACUAUGAUGAUGCCAACUAUGUUCCAGAUUCAAGUGGCAACUCAUCUGACACAAGUUCUAAUAGUAGAGAUCUAAAAAUCAUAGACAAUCAUCUUCCCCACAAAGUGUUCAAGGAAAUAUCACUGGGGAUGGCUACAGCCCACAGUUCGGAUAGUACCAACAGUUCCUUGGAACAGAGAAGUUUUAGUUCCUCAAAGAUGAGCAGCGGCCAUUGUAGUUCAGGUAUAAUUUGCAGUGACAGUUCAUCAGAAAAGACAUCGCACAGCUCCAUAAAUGUCACUUCAUUGCCAAACACAGCAAAACGAAGCAAGUACAACAAGAAACAAUACUGUCUUUAUUGUAGUAAGGCCAUUUCUAAAUUGGCAAGACACCUCGAAUCCGCUCACAGUACACAGCCUGAUGUUGCAAAAGCUUUGAGUUUUAAUAAGAGAUCUCGCGAAAGAAAAGAUUUGUUACGCUCUCUUAAGAAGAGGGGAAACUUUAACCAUAAUGCCACAGUGGCAAGCAGUGGUGAUGGAGAAAUGGUUGCUUGUCGAAGACCCACUAGAGUCAGACAAUCUAAUGACUUCAGUCACUGCAAGUUUUGUCAAGGACUCUAUGCAAGAGAUUGUCUAUGGAGACAUGUCAGAAACUGCCCUCAGAAGUCUGUUGAGGUGGAGACUAGAGUUGGGCGAAAACGGAUCCACAUUGACCUACCAAAAGCUGAAACAGUUCAUGAAGCUGUUUGGAAGAUUGCUUGUGAAAUGAACCAGGAUGACAUUUCUUUAGUUGUAAGGAGUGAAAGCGACAUCCUUAGUCUUGGCGAGUCAAUGUACAAUGGCAGGAAACCAAAUGAGAAAAGAAAUGAUUACAUACGUCAAAAAAUGAGAGAGAUGGCAAGACUCUUGAUAGCUGCAAGAGCUACAACACCUUUGAAGACCACUGAAGACCUUGUUAUGCCCAGUAAUUUCCCCCACGUGAUACAAGCAGUGAGAUCUGUUGCUGGUUAUGACUUGGAUACCAACUCGUAUAAAACCCCAUCAUUGGCUUUAAAAUUGGGU
ensembl:lncRNA